rnacentral:rRNA from 1 species
AUGAAGAUCCUCAGCUGGAACUGCCGGGGACUGGGGCAGCCCCAGACAGUUCAAGAAUUGGCGUGUCUGGUAAGCACGCACCGCCCGUCUAUCAUUUUUCUUUCUGAAACAAGACGGAAUAAAGAAAAGUUUAGCGGCCUUAGAUGGAGGAUAGGGCUCAAGAACUGCAUGCUUCAUGAUGGUAGAGGAAAAGGGGCGGGAAUCGCCUUGUACUGGGAUGAAAUAGUUGAAAUAAAAAAUCUGGGCCCUCGCUAUAUUGAUGUGCUAGUACGAAAUAACCCAAAUGAGCAGUGGUGGAGAGGUACGUUCGUAUACGGAGAACCAAAAGCACACGAGAGGAUUCAUAUGUGGAACCUUCUCAAGCGAAUUAAACAUAACUCAAAUGCGCCGUGGCUUGUAAUCGGAGACUUCAAUGAAACGCUUUGGCAGAGUGAGCACUUUUCGGCCUCUAAAAGGUCAGAAAGGCAAAUGGCCGAUUUUAGAGAAGUUCUUGACUGGUGCAACCUGUAUGACCUAGGAUUUCGAGGACCAGUGUGGACAUAUGAUAAUAAGCAAUCGGGUCGUAACGAUGUUAAAGCAAGACUGGAUCGGGGAGUGGCAUCCACACCAUGGAGCAAUCGGUUCAGGAAUGCCCAAAUAGAACACAUUUGCUCUACUAGGUCUGACCACCUGCCGUUGCUGCUAUCUUUUGGCAAGAAGCUACAGUACAGAAAGAGAAAAGAGUUCAUGUAUGAGGCUCUUUGGGAAAGGGAAGAAUCGCUACAGGCCACAAUUGAAGAAACGUGGAAAAGUGCAGGGCUAGCUUUGAACCUACAGGACAUAAAAAACAAACUGCGUAUCCUGCAGGACAGACUGAUAAAAUGGAGUUCUCUGAAGAUUGGUUCUAUAACACGCAAAACAAAUAAGCUUCGGCAACGCCUACAGGCUCUAAUGAACAGACCCCCAAACCAAGAAAAUGACAGAGAAAUUGGGCUGGUAACUAAAGAGCUGGAUGAACUACUACUGAGAGAGGAAAUAUUGUGGCUUCAAAGAUCGAGAGCCACGUACCUACGCGAGGGGGACAGGAAUACAGAUUGGUUUCACCGCCAAGCCACUUGGAGAAAGAAACAAAACACAAUAGUGAAACUAAUGACAGAAGAUGGCAAAAUGGGUGGAACAGAGGAAGGAGCUUCAUAA